rnacentral:hammerhead_ribozyme from 1 species
AUCCAAGUGACGAGUCCCAAAUCGAAGGAAACGUGAGUCCUGGAU